AUUGAAGUUUAGGGUAUAAGCUAUCAUUUGAUGUGCAAAUGGUUUUCAUUGCUUAUGCCGGUUAGACUCACUGGACCGGCGGAAUACGUACACCUUACGUUGUGAAUACUACAUGUUAUUUUUUAUUUUUUUUAUAUGGACACAUGCACCUUCCGUGACACGUCCUGACUGAUAUUGACAAUAAUAUAAUGCACUUAAACAUACCUCCCAUACGCAAUGAAAUGGUUCAAGUCCAUGGGCUGUCCUAUGCUAUUAAGUGUCAUAACUUCGUUCUCCGGUGGUUUACAAUGUUUUGUCCUUAAUAAAAAAUGAAGCUUAGGGUAUAAGCUAUCAUUUGAUAUGCAAAUGGUUUUCAUUGGUUUUGCCGUUUAGACUCACCAGAACGGCGGAAUACGUACACCAUACGUUGUAAAUACUACUUGCUAAAUAAUCUUUUUUUUUUUCAAUAAACUUGGAAAAUAUGUUCACAGACACCUUCUGUGAAUCGUCCUGACUAAUAUGGACAAUAAUAUAAUGCACUUGAACAUCUCUCCCAUACAAGACGAAUUGGUUCAAGUCCAUAGGCUGUCCUAUGCUAUCAAGUGUCAUAUCUUCGUUCUCCGGUGGUUCACAAUGUUUUGUCCAUAAUAAAAAAUGAAGCUUAGGGUAUAAGCUAUCAUUUGAUAUGCGAAUCGUUUUUAUUGGAUAUACCGGCCAAUUUUACCCAUCAUCCU
rnacentral:lncRNA from 1 species